rnacentral:rRNA from 1 species
UACAGAGGGUGCGAGCGUUGUCCGGAAUCACUGGGCGUAAAGGGCGCGUAGGUGGCGACCCAAGUCGAUGGUGAAAGCUCGUCGCUCAACGACGAGUCGGCCACCGAUACUGGGUUGCUCGAGCACUGUAGAGGCAGAUGGAAUUCCUGGUGUAGCGGUGAAAUGCGCAGAUAUCAGGAGGAACACCAGCGGCGAAGGCGGCGCUCUGGGCCGGUACUGACACUGAGGAGCGAAAGCGUGGGUAGCAAACAGG